rnacentral:rRNA from 1 species
UCGGGAAUAUUGGACAAUGGGCGAAAGCCUGAUCCAGCAAUACCGCGUGUGUGAAGAAGGCCUGCGGGUUGUAAAGCACUUUCAGUUGGGAAGAUAAUGACGUUACCAACAGAAGAAGCACCGGCUAACUCCGUGCCAGCAGCCGCGGUAAUACGGAGGGUGCAAGCGUUAAUCGGAAUUACUGGGCGUAAAGCGCACGUAGGCGGUUUAUUAAGUCGGAUGUGAAAGCCCCGGGCUCAACCUGGGAACUGCAUACGAUACUGGUAGACUAGAAUUUGGGAGAGGUAAGUGGAAUUUCCGGUGUAGCGGUGAAAUGCAUAGAGAUCGGAAGGAACACCAGUGGCGAAGGCGACUUACUGGGCCAAAAUUGACGCUGAGGUGCGAAAGCGUGGGUAGCAAACA